rnacentral:lncRNA from 1 species
GGCCCUUAGUGAUUUCGGUGAUUAAUGACAUUGUUGUUUACUAUGACUAACGUGUGUUUUGCAGAGGCAAAGUCAUAGGUAAGGUCAUGGUAAAUAGGUACUCAAUGGACAGGGACGUAAAUGCCAACUUAAUAGUGGAAAUUGUUUCGGUUUUCAAAGGAUGGAUGGACAUCGUCAAGACUAGAUUAGGUCUAAGUGCC